AUGUGCGUAAAGCACAACCCACUACCCUGAGGACUUCUUCAUAUUCAGGUCACACCCUGUACUGGAAUCAGCCUUAGACAGGACACAACACAGACAUGAGGACGGCUACUCAGCUCCUGGGCUUGCUGCUACUCUGGUUUACAGGUGCAAGAUGUGACAUCCAGAUGACUCAGUCUCCAGCCUCCCUAUCUGUAUCUCUGGGAGAAACUGUCACUAUCACAUGCCUGGCAAGUGAAGACAUUUCCUGGAGUUUAGCAUGGUAUCAGCAGAAACCAGAGAAGCCGCCUAAGCUCCUGAUCUAUGGUACAGAUAGCUUGGUAGAUGGGAUCCCAUCGAGAUUCAGUGGCAGUGGAUCUGGCACACAGUUUUCUUUCAAGAUAACCAGCCUGCAGCCUGAAGAUGUUGCAGCUUAUUACUGUCAACAGGCUUACAGUACCCCUCCCACAGUGAUUUAG